rnacentral:tRNA from 1 species
UGGAAUGUAGCUCAGUGGCAAAGCGCUUGCCUAGCAAGUGCAACGUUCUGGGUUCGAUCCCCAGUACCAA